rnacentral:rRNA from 1 species
GGACCCGCACAAGUAGUGGAGCAUGUGGUUUAAUUCGAAGAUACGCGCAGAACCUUACCAACACUUGACAUGUUCGUCGCGACUUUAAGAGAUUAAAGUUUUCGGUUCGGCCGGACGAAACACAGGUGCUGCAUGGCUGUCGUCAGCUCGUGUCGUGAGAUGUUGGUUAAGUCCCGCAACGAGCGCAACCCUCACUUUUAGUUGCCAUCAUUUAGUUGGGCACUCUGAAAGAACUGCCAGUGAUAAGCUGGAGGAAGGUGGGGUAUGACGUCAAGUCCUCAUGGCCCUUACGUGUUGGGCUACACACGUGCUACAAUGGUAUUUACAGUGGGUUAAUCCCCAAAAGGAUGUCU